CGCCCCCGUCCAGAUGAGAAGAGAAAGAGCACAGCCCGUGACAAACCCAAGUGGAGAUGUUGGCUCUCACCAUGACUCUCUGACUUCGGGGCACAUCAUUUA
rnacentral:miRNA from 1 species